rnacentral:rRNA from 1 species
ACUGCGAGCGUGACGGCGCGAGCAGGUGCGAAAGCAGGUCAUAGUGAUCCGGUGGUUCUGAAUGGAAGGGCCAUCGCUCAACGGAUAAAAGGUACUCCGGGGAUAACAGGCUGAUACCGCCCAAGAGUUCAUAUCGACGGCGGUGUUUGGCACCUCGAUGUCGGCUCAUCACAUCCUGGGGCUGAAGUAGGUCCCAAGGGUAUGGCUGUUCGCCAUUUAAAGUGGUACGCGAGCUGGGUUUAGAACGUCGUGAGACAGUUCGGUCCCUAUCUGCCGUGGGCGCUGGAGAACUGAGGGGGGCUGCUCCUAGUACGAGAGGACCGGAGUGGACGCAUCACUGGUGUUCGGGUUGUCAUGCCAAUGGCACUGCCCGGUAGCUAAAUGCGGAAGAGAUAAGUGCUGAAAGCAUCUAAGCACGAAACUUGCCCCGAGAUGAGUUCUCCCUGACCCUUUAAGGGUCCUGAAGGAACGUUGAAGACGACGACGUUGAUAGGCCGGGUGUGUAAGCGCAGCGAUGCGUUGAGCUAACCGGUACUAAUGAACCGUGAGGCUUAACCUU